rnacentral:rRNA from 1 species
UACAGAGGUCUCAAGCGUUGUUCGGAUUCAUUGGGCGUAAAGGGUGCGUAGGUGGCGGGGUAAGUCAGGUGUGAAAUCUCGGGGCUCAACCCCGAAACUGCAUUUGAUACUGCCUUGCUCGAGUACUGGAGAGGAGAUUGGAAUUUACGGUGUAGCGGUGAAAUGCGUAGAUAUCGUAAGGAAGACCAGUGGCGAAGGCGGGUCUCUGGACAGUUCCUGACGCUGAGGCACGAAGGCCAGGGGAGCAAACGGG